rnacentral:rRNA from 1 species
UACGUAGGGACCAAGCGUUGUUCGGAAUUACUGGGCGUAAAGGGCUCGUAGGUGGCCAACUAAGUCAGACGUGAAAUCCCUCGGCUUAACCGGGGAACUGCGUCUGAUACUGGAUGGCUUGAGAUUGGGAGAGGGAUGCGGAAUUCCAGGUGUAGCGGUGAAAUGCGUAGAUAUCUGGAGGAACACCGGUGGCGAAGGCGGCAUCCUGGACCAACACUGACACUGAGGAGCGAAAGCCAGGGGAGCAAACGGG